rnacentral:rRNA from 1 species
GGUUAAGCGACUAAGCGUACACGGUGGAUGCCCUGGCAGUCAGAGGCGAUGAAGGGCGUGCUAAUCUGCGAUAAGCGCCGGUAAGGUGAUAUGAACCGUUAUAACCGGCGAUACCCGAAUGGGGAAACCCAGUGUGAUUCGUCACACUAUCAUUAACUGAAUCCAUAGGUUAAUGAGGCGAACCGGGGGAACUGAAACAUCUAAGUACCCCGAGGAAAAGAAAUCAACCGAGAUUCCCCCAGUAGCGGCGAGCGAACGGGGAGGAGCCCAGAGCCUGAAUCAGCAUGUGUGUUAGUGGAAGCGUCUGGAAAGGCGCGCGAUACAGGGUGACAGCCCCGUACACAAAAGCGCAUGUGCUGUGAGCUCGAUGAGUAGGGCGGGACACGUGGUAUCCUGUCUGAAUAUGGGGGGACCAUCCUCCAAGGCUAAAUACUCCUGACUGACCGAUAGUGAACCAGUACCGUGAGGGAAAGGCGAAAAGAACCCCGGCGAGGGGAGUGAAAAAGAACCUGAAACCGUGUACGUACAAGCAGUGGGAGCCCCACCACUAAGCCAGUGGUGAACUCCACAUACGCAUCCUUUGCUGAGGAUACGGUUAACGGAGCGAAAGCGACGUUCAACCGCAAAACAAGCAGAGGGGGCUUAGUGGUGGGGUGACUGCGUACCUUUUGUAUAAUGGGUCAGCGACUUAUAUUCUGUAGCAAGGUUAACCGAAUAGGGGAGCCGUAGGGAAACCGAGUCUUAACCGGGCGUUAAGUUGCAGGGUAUAGACCCGAAACCCGGUGAUCUAGCCAUGGGCAGGUUGAAGGUUGGGUAACACUAACUGGAGGACCGAACCGACUAAUGUUGAAAAAUUAGCGGAUGACCUGUGGCUGGGGGUGAAAGGCCAAUCAAACCGGGAGAUAGCUGGUUCUCCCCGAAAGCUAUUUAGGUAGCGCCUCGUGAAUUCAUCUCCGGGGGUAGAGCACUGUUUCGGCUAGGGGGCCAUCCCGGCUUACCAACCCGAUGCAAACUGCGAAUACCGGAGAAUGUUAUCACGGGAGACACACGGCGGGUGCUAACGUCCGUCGUGAAGAGGGAAACAACCCAGACCGCCAGCUAAGGUCCCAAAGUCAUGGUUAAGUGGGAAACGAUGUGGGAAGGCCCAGACAGCCAGGAUGUUGGCUUAGAAGCAGCCAUCAUUUAAAGAAAGCGUAAUAGCUCACUGGUCGAGUCGGCCUGCGCGGAAGAUGUAACGGGGCUAAACCAUGCACCGAAGCUGCGGCAGCGAACGUAUCACUUAAAGCGAUUCAGCGGGUUACGAUUGACGGAGCGAAGCGACGUCAAAGCGUAUACAAAGUCGAGUCGGUUUAAGGAUACGUUCGUUGGGUAGGGGAGCGUUCUGUAAGCCUGUGAAGGUGGCCUGUGAGGGUUGCUGGAGGUAUCAGAAGUGCGAAUGCUGACAUAAGUAACGAUAAAGCGGGUGAAAAGCCCGCUCGCCGGAAGACCAAGGGUUCCUGUCCAACGUUAAUCGGGGCAGGGUGAGUCGACCCCUAAGGCGAGGCCGAAAGGCGUAGUCGAUGGGAAACGGGUUAAUAUUCCCGUACUUGGUGUUACUGCGAAGGGGGGACGGAGAAGGCUAUGUUGGCCGGGCGACGGUUGUCCCGGUUUAAGCGUGUAGGCUGGUUUUCCAGGCAAAUCCGGAAAAUCAAGGCUGAGGCGUGACGACGAGGCACUACGGUGCUGAAGCAACAAAUGCCCUGCUUCCAGGAAAAGCCUCUAAGCAUCAGGUAACAUCAAAUCGUACCCCAAACCGACACAGGUGGUCAGGUAGAGAAUACCAAGGCGCUUGAGAGAACUCGGGUGAAGGAACUAGGCAAAAUGGUGCCGUAACUUCGGGAGAAGGCACGCUGAUAUGUAGGUGAAGCGGUUUACCCGUGGAGCUGAAAUCAGUCGAAGAUACCAGCUGGCUGCAACUGUUUAUUAAAAACACAGCACUGUGCAAACACGAAAGUGGACGUAUACGGUGUGACGCCUGCCCGGUGCCGGAAGGUUAAUUGAUGGGGUCAGCGCAAGCGAAGCUCCUGAUCGAAGCCCCGGUAAACGGCGGCCGUAACUAUAACGGUCCUAAGGUAGCGAAAUUCCUUGUCGGGUAAGUUCCGACCUGCACGAAUGGCGUAAUGAUGGCCAGGCUGUCUCCACCCGAGACUCAGUGAAAUUGAACUCGCUGUGAAGAUGCAGUGUACCCGCGGCAAGACGGAAAGACCCCGUGAACCUUUACUAUAGCUUGACACUGAACAUUGAGCCUUGAUGUGUAGGAUAGGUGGGAGGCUUUGAAGUGUGGACGCCAGUCUGCAUGGAGCCGACCUUGAAAUACCACCCUUUAAUGUUUGAUGUUCUAACGUGGACCCGUGAUCCGGGUUGCGGACAGUGUCUGGUGGGUAGUUUGACUGGGGCGGUCUCCUCCUAAAGAGUAACGGAGGAGCACGAAGGUUGGCUAAUCCUGGUCGGACAUCAGGAGGUUAGUGCAAUGGCAUAAGCCAGCUUGACUGCGAGCGUGACGGCGCGAGCAGGUGCGAAAGCAGGUCAUAGUGAUCCGGUGGUUCUGAAUGGAAGGGCCAUCGCUCAACGGAUAAAAGGUACUCCGGGGAUAACAGGCUGAUACCGCCCAAGAGUUCAUAUCGACGGCGGUGUUUGGCACCUCGAUGUCGGCUCAUCACAUCCUGGGGCUGAAGUAGGUCCCAAGGGUAUGGCUGUUCGCCAUUUAAAGUGGUACGCGAGCUGGGUUUAGAACGUCGUGAGACAGUUCGGUCCCUAUCUGCCGUGGGCGCUGGAGAACUGAGGGGGGCUGCUCCUAGUACGAGAGGACCGGAGUGGACGCAUCACUGGUGUUCGGGUUGUCAUGCCAAUGGCACUGCCCGGUAGCUAAAUGCGGAAGAGAUAAGUGCUGAAAGCAUCUAAGCACGAAACUUGCCCCGAGAUGAGUUCUCCCUGAGACUUAGAGUCUCCUGAAGGAACGUUGAAGACGACGACGUUGAUAGGCCGGGUGUGUAAGCGCAGCGAUGCGUUGAGCUAACCGGUACUAAUGAACCGUGAGGCUUAACCUU